CUUCCCAGAGAAAUGUUCCUUCGAUUGUUUCUUUCUUUGACCAUAGCUGUGAUGUUUGUGUUGGUCGUGCCUCUUGGUGAUCAGCAAAACAGGUUCCUCAGUGAUGUGCUGCUCAUGUUCACAGAAUGAGCAGACUAAUACAGAGGUAUUAGAGGAACGGCAGGAACAGAAUGAGGAAGAGGAGCACAACGAGGAGGAGGAUGUGGAAGCCAACAUGCUGACUCUUUUAGCGAGCAGGAGGAGGACUUGGUUCAUCUUGCUACCCAAAAUGGCCGUGUUGCUGAGGACGUCUCCAGUGCUAAUGAAUGUGAGAUAAUAUACGAUAUAGUAGAUGAUUCACCUGCAACGACCUGUGGAACCCUCUCUGUAUGCCACCUCCUCCACCGAGGAAAAAAGAAAAAAAAAACCUAUACAUUUUUCACCUCACUAAAUGCAUAAGCAUUUUGGGUGUGAAUCCCUGUUUCAAACUUUUUUUUUUUUUUUUUUUCAGAAUUACAACAGUAAUGCCAGUGUUUGACAUAAUGACCUAUAUUCUGGAAAGCAGCAGCAGUGGAACAAUACAGCCCCACUGGACCAAACACUGGCACUACAUCUGCUCCUUUUUCUUAUUUUUGGGAGCUACAUCUUGUUCAGCCUAAAUAGCUUGUCAGUUACCUGCUAGCUGCAUCUGCAAAUGUAGUAAGCUGGCUGUGGUAAGCUUCAUUAAAACCAGUUACCAGAUACAUUUAUUUGUAUUUGUGCUUCCUUUGUUCAAUCAGAUUAACUUAAAAAGAAUUUAAACCUAUGCAUA